GCCGGGGACGCAUGUGCAGCUCACAGCAGACGGAACUUCAUGAAGCGUCACCUUUAUUCUUUCCCGGGCUUGUAACAGAGGGUUUCCAGACCUAAGUUUCACAGCGAAGAUGGUGCUUUCGCUGUGCCUUUUUUUGAAAGAGCCUCGAUUUCUAAAGACAUCGCUGCCUGCUCUUCCGCGCCCCCAGCCCCAAGAAUACACGCCUAUCCCCUCCCCGUCCCUCCCCGGGGGAAAGCAGAGUACCCGCCCCAAGGGGAGAAGCUGCAAUGCAACUCCCAGCACGUGCAAAGUGGCAACUAGACACCAGGGUCCACUGUGGCCAGAUCUGUGAAUUUUUCAAAAGAAGCCAGAAAGGUGGAUAAAAAAAGAAAAAAAAAAAUCAGUUUUCAAAUAUUGGCAACAAACCCCAGUUUUUAUAAACCCUAUACAGACUGAACAAAACUUUGUAUUGGCUCCGUCCGGCUCCGAGCCACCAGCUUAAGACUGGGGGCCACAAGACCAGAGGUGCUUUUUCUUCUUUGCGAAGAUCUGGAUGCUUGGGAAGCUGGCUCUCCGACGACUUUCAGUCUGUUCUUAGCUGGUACUCCUUCACUGACAAGCCUCUUUAAGGAACUGACAGGCUGGUGGGAAGAGUCAGCCAGUCACAGAGCAGUGGCGUCAUUGUUUCAAUGAGGAUUCCACGACGAACCAAAGGAUGGAGCACUCUUUUCUGUCUGCGGUGUGUACCAACAGGGGAUGGCGUCAACCCCUUUCACGCAGGUUCGGAAGAGGCUUUUCUCUGGUGUUUAUAAGGGUCGUCCUCUCCCCGCCCCCACAGCCAUUCCCAUUGAGACGGCUGCUGCCAGCUCUGGGUGGAGCUUGGUGCUGGCGCUCUAGGAAGCCUCGUGAGAUGCCCCAAUGCACCUGGUCAAUACAGACCAAACACUGCAGCCCUUGUCCCGUGCGUGAACAAGCACCAUGACAGUGACCGGCCCAGAGGAAUCCUAGCAUAACUCACAAACUUCUUGCUUUCUGAUGGCUCAAACACGCUCCAUUUUAAAGAGUGGAUGCGAGCUGCUUCUCUCCAAAAAGAUCUUACUCCACAGGCCUGUCCGCGUGUCCCGGGCUUCUCUGUCUGCUGGCCUCAGGGCACUCUUCUUACGCGGAAGCUCAUUUCUGAGAGAAAGGGCAUAGACGCUCCUCGCCAGUGCUACUCUUGGAACCAGCACCACAUGCAUCCCUUCCUACGUCCUAGACAGGCAUUGGUCAAAGCAAAGCACCCACCAGCUCUAAGCGGGUGGGAAGGAGAUCCUCUCUGUUGAUGGAGGAGCAAGAGGGUCACGUGGCAGAAGGAACAUGGGCUGGAAGCCAGUGCUGCAGCCACUCUGAAGAACACGAUGUGCCACAAGAGGAACCGUUUCAAUAAUUCAGGCAAGAGAUGAUGGGCCUUAGAUUUGGAUGUUUGCUCCAGACGAAGAAAGGGCAGAUUCAGAAUCCAGAAUUCAGAGCGGCGCGUAGGAGCGCUGUCCAGUACGGACCAACGCAUCUGAGAACGUUCCUUGAAUUGCUUUUUAUAAGAGCACGCGGAUGAGCAAGGCCCGCGACCAGUGGCGUCCGUCACAAAUAGGUCCACUCUGUUCACAGGGGGCAAGCAUCACCGUCCUGCUUCACAAUGUGCGUUGUUUCACAGAAUAAAACAGAGGGCGGGGACUUCAUGAAGAGCCUGAAGAGGGAGAGGGAAGUAUGGACCGAUGUGCUGUGAGAGGCAGGGAUUGCUGCGUCCUAUAACCAGGGCUGCCGUAGAGAGUAAAGACGGCCCUGUGACACUACAUCUUCGGAGGCUUUUGCCCACAGAAAGACCUGAGCAGCCCUCGCUCCGUACAUUCUGUUACCUGGGAAGACAAAAUUUCAAAGGUACAGGAGUUACUGCACCAAAGGUAGGACAUGAAAAAGAUUUUUUUUUUUUUUUUUUUUGGAGUUUCAGAUGUGGCACGACGAAUAGCCAGGCUGUUUCUGCCACACCUGGAUGCAGGCCCAACCCUGGCCCGACACAGUGGGUUGAGGAUCCGGCCUUGCUGCAGCCACAGGCGUGGCGUACGUGUGACUCAGAUCUGAUGCCUGGCCCAGGAACUCCAUACACUGCAGGAUGGCCAAAAACAAGCAGUUUUUUGGUGACAAAAAUGUAGGAAGCUAUUCCAUUUUUAAACAAGAGAACAAUCCAGAAACUUGCCCAGGGUCACCCAGCAAAUUAAUGGCAGAGUUGCUGUAAAAGACGUGUCUCCUGAUUCUGGUCCCAGAUUCUUCCCACGGCAUCACCCGCCGCCCAGCCCAGAGCACAGCCUUGUUCUCAUUCGGGCCUCCUGGACCUUUGCUGUUGCUCACGUGACUGACAGGUAGUGCCAGAUGUCCAGAGAGGAGACUGGGCUCUAAUCAGACCCAGUCUCUCUACUGGUAAAGUAACUGAACCAUACUGUGGCAGUUGAAUCCCCGCAGCGUGGACGGCACCUGUGGGCACGUGGGACUCGUCACCCUGAGACCGCUUAGUCUACUGCUAAAUGGCCCAUAGAAUAUUGCCUAAAAUGCACCAAAUUCCUAGGAUUCUGGGGUCACCCUAUAACUCUCAAUGCUUACGUCUCCAUCAAAAACAAAAAGACAGCUUGACAACACCAGGGUUUUUUAGGUUGGAAAGUAAUUACAAUGUAAGAUCGUUACUGUACGUAGAGGGAAUGUAUGUAUUAUAUGUGCACCUUCUGUUUCAUUUUUACAGUGCACAAUUUUUAUUUUGUUUUCUCAAUAUUUAAAGUAGGCCGUAUUCCAUUCCAGACAUAGAUAAAACUGAUGUCUUCUUGAUUGUAUCAUUUCAUUCUCAAUUACUUUUAAUGUAUUCACUCCUUUUCUCUAUAUAGCUCAAUACAAUGGACAUAUUUUGCAUCUAUUCCUGUUUUGUUUUUUUACUGAGUACUCUUCUUUAAAUUAGAAUCAGCACCUGUGUAUCACUCAGUGGACUUCCCAUGAUGAGAUUAAAGACCCACAGACCCAGGUUUGUUUCACAUUUGAACGUAACUGGCCAGAUGUCACCUCCCUGCAUACUUAACAGGUCUCUGCGUACGGCUCCUCCAUCUUCCUCCAUCUUCGUGUCAGACGCAGUGUGCUGGACUCUGGUGUCAGAAGACAACAUCUCAGGCUUGGUGCCUGGGAAUGCAACGCGUACAUUCUGCUCUGGAUUUAGAUGUCUGUUUAACAAGACUGCACCACAAAAUCCUCACAACUUUUUCAUACAUAUGUUUUACAUGUUCUGUUGUAUUGGCAAUUUUUACGGCAUUCAACACUGAGCCUGGUGGAGUUUUAAUCUCCAGAUACCUUAAAAUUGGAAUGCCUCUGGCAAGAAAAACUGACUCCUCGGUAGGCAGGCGUUGUAGUAUUUCAGAGAGGUCUGAGUGAAGCCUUUGCCCAGGAAUUUCACUUCUGCAUUUACAGGAACCUGUGUGCACUCGGCAGGGCUUUAGAACAGAUGCUUAGGCAGCGUCACUGUUAAGCUAUUGUGAAUAAUAAAGCGUCACUAUUAAACUAUCGUGAGAACACCGGAGCAGCCCUCCUCCGCCGCCCUUAAAGCACUUCUCUGACUGCCUCAAAAUUCAAGGGCCCUCUUAGCUGAGUGCAGACUGAAAUAGUUCACUGUGGAUGUGAAUAGGAGCCGAGAGGGCCGGCGAAAGGAAAACGCUCCAUAAAAGGUUUAUUGUCGGCGCUUUCUAAAGAUGCAGAUUCUGCAGAGACGGGGUCGCAAACAUAUAGCCCGGCCUCCUCGACCUCUCCCGGACCCAGGGCUCAGGGCCUUCUGUGGGAGGAUGCGCUACGUGGGGAUGGCCGGUUCUGCCAACCCUCCUGCCUCAAUAGAAAGGAUGUCAUAAGGGGAAGGGGAGGGGUGGGUAGUGUGGUCCUGGCUCUUGGAAAAGUGCUUGAAAUUCCUUGCAUUCCUUUGCAUUUAAUGGUAUGUUUACCUAAUCUCCAGCUUAUUAAGAUUAGCACAAGUCCUCACUUUGCGCUCAUUCAGUGAAAACAAACUGACGAUAGAGUCUAAAAAUUUUUCUUUUUUUUUUUUUUUUUUUGUCUUUUUGCCUUUUCUUGAGCCGCUCCCGCGGCAUAUGGAGGUUCCCAGGCUAGGGGUCGAAUCAGGAGCUGUAGCUGCCGGUCUACAGUCUACGCCAGAGCCACAGCAACUCGGGAUCCCAGCCACCAAGCGAGGCCAGGGAUCGAACCCACAACAUCAUGUUUCCUCGUCGGAUUCGUUAACCAUUGCGCCACCAUGGGAACUCCCAGCUAUUCUCCAUCUUGCCCACCAAUUCAGUGGUGGGCUGCCUGAGCCAUGGACUGUUUCUCUCCUCUCCGGAAGGGACCAGGGCAAUUACCUAGAGAUUAAAAUGCUAAAUGACUCUACUAUCCCCACCUCAAAGAGCAGGGGUGACAGAGAUCCGGGGGCUUUGAAUUCUUAUGAAAAUAAAGCAUUAUUAUUUAAAUCACAAACUUAGCGUCAGAUUCCUUCGGUGCUUCGUAGAAUGCCUGGUGGUCCAUACUUGUUUUUAAAACAGAUUGCUUUAAAUGCCAAGACUUUUCUCUACUGAAGAUAUAUCCAAGCGAACCUCCUUAGAUUUUCGAAGGUUAGUUCCUUGCUCUAGCCCAAGCCCCCUGAACGGCUCCUGGCACAAAGCAGGUCCUCAGCAAAUCCUGUUUCUGUGACUGAAGGCACAGGCUGGAUGGUCCCAGUGGCCCUGGGCCGUCUCUAAGAAUACAGAAUGCCAUAUACUCAGAUAUUAGGUAAAUAUUUCUUUAUUAAAUGAUUCAUUCCAUAAAUAAAUUCUUUUCACUGAAUAUAAAAUUAAAAUCAUUUACAAAUUAUUCCAGUAUUAUAUUUCCCCUCCCUCCCGGAAAGCUACAUUUUGAUAAAUAAAAACAUUCAGUC
ensembl:lncRNA